AUGAGGUGGGGUGAGGGCUUCUUCCCAUAUAGGUGGGAGUGGCAACUAGUGUAAAGUAGUUAUCUGCAGAGAGUGGGGCGGCAGUGGCCUGGAACUGAUUAUUGAAUGAGCAGGAAGUCCUGUGGGGGGAUGGGCAACUGAGCAGCAGAUGGACAUUGAUCACCACAUUCCAGAUAAUGGGACCCAUAUUCCUCCCUGUGGGAGAAGGUGUCGCAACCAUGAAAACCUAGAAUGAGCCUUCUGGUACUGAUAAGGAUUUCAGUUGUUGCUGUGUAACUAUGGAGGGGAGAAUCGACAGACGAACAGAUGGACUGAUAGACGCAGAUAUAAAUUCAUAGGUACACAUGCAGACACGUGUGUCUUUUCCUUAUCCCUGAGUAGGUAGGAGAGUGACAUUUCAAUCAAAACAGGUAUCUAUGUGGUUCAGAUAUCAAGUUGUGAAGUACUAUUUUAUAGACAAAGAAGAAGACAUUUCUCUUGAAAAAUAGUUGACUUUAGAUAUGACACAAGGAAAGCAUGGGCCAUGUCUGGGACACCUUGCUAUGUCAGAAAGUCAAGUUAUCAAAGCAUCAGGAGGCCAUAGACACAGACAUAGACACAGAGACACCCUGAAAGGCCUCUUACUCACCAAAUCACAGACAAUUCUGAAAGAUCAAAAUAAAUUGUGAUAGGAUCUUAACCUAUCAACACAAAACACUGGAUAGCACGGGAAAUCAAAAGCUCUCCCUAAAAUCAGCCCAGCAAGAACGUCCGAGACUCACCACUCGCAAUAACCGGAACAAUGGUUAAGACAGCCAAUAAACGCCAACUGAUGGGCAAAGUUUUAGUAAGGAGCAGAAUGCAUACUCAUUAGGAAGGAAUGCAUAUUUGAAAUUCUCUGGUAGAUUAAUAAAGAUUCCUGAAAUCUUUAUUAUUAACAACAACAACAACAAAAAGAAUAAAAUGAUUCUAAAUGGAAGAAAGCUGUCGAAGCCUCUCAGUUGCUCAAACCUUCCUUAGGGGGAAACAGCAAACCUGGAGUGUCUGAGGAGGCAGUGAGGGAGGGCCACGAGAGAGAGCCCCUUGUGGCGUUCCUACCAAACCACACACUCCAACCUAAUCACAACUCCGCGAGAGACAAGCCAGCAUGGGGAAGAGUUUACGAAUGGACUGAGUUUUAAUUUUCAAAAAUGAAAGAGGAGGGAACUCAAGGCAAAACAGGAGUUGGGACAGGCAGGACAGUCAAGAGACAGGACACGUAAGACCAAGGACAGGAUCUUUGUAUGGAUGAAGCAAAGCUCACCAAGCUCUGUGGUUACAAUGGUGGCAUAGCAACUUCCUAACUCGGAUUGUGGUGUGUGGUCAUGGAAGCAAGUGUCUCUGUCCGUAGGAAUACACACUGCUGUGUUUAAAAUGAUCAGGCAUCCAAUAAGCAAUUAACUCAUAAAUGGCUAUUGGAAAACAAAGCUUUUUAGAUUAUUCUUGCAAUUAUCCUGUCAAUUCAAAAUUAUUUCAAAUCUUAAAAUGUGAUUUUAAAAAAAACCCAGCCAACCAGAAUGACUGUUUUAAGUAAACCAAUAUACUCAGUAGUAGAAUAUUAAGGAAUUUACUUAAUUGUGUUUUAGGAAACCAUGCAAGCUACCAAAGAUGUUCACAGGGUAUAGUUAAAUAUAUAUAACUCUGUAAUAAAGAGCCUAAAUACACACACACACACACACACACACACACACACAGAGAGAGACAGAGACAGAGACAGCGAGCCAGAGAGAGACAGAGACAGGAAGACAGAGAGAGACAGACAGACAGAGACAGAGAGACAGAGGCAGAGAGAGAGAGAGGGAUACACAUGGACACAUCGAUAAACAUGCUGGAAACGUAUAAAGGAGGCACCCAAGAAGAACCAUCACACAUCGUAGAUCAUAUAACAGAGAAAGAUGUCACAAAGCAAAGGAACAUCCUCUUUUGAAGGAAAGGGUUGUUAAAAGGAAGCUGAGGAAUCAUAUAUUCUCACUAAGCCAGGCUGGGUCAGGAACUUGGAAUACAUUGUCUCCAGGAGUAUAACUGCACCGUCUAUUAUCAUGUUGUCUGUAUCUUUGUAGCAUCUUGAUGGUGACCACUUACGUCCUAAGAGAUCGCCUGGCCUCUAACUCAGCAGCAAGUCCACUGAACACUCAGUAAUCAGGGGGUCUCUUUCAAACUGUGAAGACUUAACUUAAGUGACUAAAACUCUCAGACUUUUUCAGCAUCCAGAACAAAGACUCAGUCUGUGCAGCGAGGGAAGGAGAGCUGGCAUGGGAGCCAUGCUCCCUGCAGGACACUUAGCUCAUCUCAGCCAUCCCUCUGCUGGGAAGCAGCACAGGUUAGCCCUCUUGUGCUCUAGAGCCUCACCUUCCCUCUGGCCCACUCCUAGCGAUGCUGACCUUGUUGGUCCUUGAAGCCCUUCUGUGGAAUGUCUGCCUCAGGGAUCUUGUGUGUUAUUUUUUUCUCUCUACUCUGCCUUCUUACUCCUUAACGUGAACUGUUCUUUUCUUUAGGAAAAAAAAUUUGUUGACAAUUUCAUACAUGCACAUAACCCAUUUUCUCCUUCCUCUAAAUGACAUUUCUGCUCCAAUGUUUCUUACCCAGGGAAGUUGCCCUGUCCCUCCGUGUAACCUGUUUGGUGUUAUAGUAUGCCAAUUGUAUCGUGACCUCCUCUAUAAUGGAAGCUCAUAGGUCUUUGCCUAGUUUACUGCAACACUUAAAGCUGGUGGUCACUUUAAAAUGUUCAUUUAACAAAUGAAUUAAUUAAAUUUAAUCUUACCUCAGGAGCCUAGUGCUUUCGCAUUUACAAUAUAUGAACAAUAAUUUCCUUAAAGUUGACAAAGGAUGUGAAGUAACUUUAUAUAAGCACCUGCAUUUGGGGGAAAUCGACUACUUUCAGUUUUUUACUUCAAGCAAGUUCUUCUUCUAGAAGUAUGACGUAAUGUUCUUCCUCCACAGACUGGAACUCAUUUCUCAAAAGAGAAAACAGAAAUGUGGAUACCUCAGAGCUCAAAGCUGGGAGAGAGAGAGGUGCCCACAAUGGGUGAGCAGGGACAAGAAUGACAAUCUGACGAGGGCUCUGUUCUCUCAACUAGGUCAGUUCAGGAUUCCGUGAGCAAAGUAUACUGAGAUACAGUCCUGGAUCUAUUAAAAAGCCUCAACUGUUUUGGUUGGUGUCAUUACACAAUAAAGUUCUUAGGCUUCUUCUUGUUAUAUUAUGUGCUUUCCCUGUUGACCAAGCCCUAACCACAGUUUUUAAGUUCUCUCCUGUGUUACAGUGUCCACAUACUUAGUCAGUUGAACUUUGUGACACAUGGAGGAAGCAAACAAAAAGUAGUUAUGACUUCCAUAAUUUGGUCUAAAGAGUCUUAGUCCUAGCUGAGACCAAAGCUACAGAUCAAGUAUUGGCUGACUCUUCCUACUGACCAAAGAUAAACACAGGCAAAAGAGAGCAGAUCGUAGGCUCACUGAUGGCAAGUCUCUAGGAGCCUAACAGAGGCUAAGAGGGAAGGUGGGCAUGGCUCCCACCACUAACCAAGAAGCUGUCUGCCACCGAUACCUGCCGGCAAAAGAAAAAUUAAUUCUCUUUAAUGGAGUCAUACUGGGUAUAUUGGCCACAGUUCAGGGUAGAUCUUAGACCCAGAAGUGGUUGUCCAAUACAAAUCAAACUCACUGGUGCUUGGUAGACUUUUUUUCUUUUAGGAGGCAUUUUUUUUGUCUUAUUGGUCUUUUGAUUAUGUAUUUUGCUUUUGAUUUUUUUGUGUUUUUAUGGUACAUUUCUUGGUUUUUGUUUUUUAAGAAAGAAGGGGCAUGAAUUGGAUGGGUAUGGAGAUGGGGAAGGUCUGGGAGAUGCUGGGGAGGGAAAAGUAUGAUCAGAAUAUAUUGUAUAAUUUUUUUUUAUCUUAAAAAACAGAAGAGGAGGAGACUGUGAAGAUAAACAGUUGAUACACGAGGUGGUUUUGUGACAGCUAAGAACAGGGAAAGAGGAAGCUACGAAGGGAACUGGCUGGCAAGAAAAGAAGAACUGAGCAGAGUUGCAGAGGAUGAGAGUCCAUGAUGGAAGAGCAGAAAUGACAGCAGGGUGACACAUGGCUAGAGGAGCAACUGAGAGCUCAUGUUUUGAUCCACACUCAGGAAGGAGCAGUGAUAGAGUUGCCGAUGCUUCCUCCAAGUCUCCUCAAGAUUGCUCUCCAUGUUGCUACAGUACCCUCUGCCACGGGCCAUCCCAGAGCACUCCCACGACAAGUGACCAUUGUGUAUUGGAACCGUCACUUGCUUUGCUUCUGCUGGACGCAAGCACUUACUUUGUUGAACUAAACUCAAUGGAUUGAAACUAUGAAGCUUAUCAAUACUAAGUAUUAAGUAGGUUUGGGUUCCAGAGACCAAGCUCAGGUUUUCAGGGCUGUGAGGCAAAUGCUUUGACCCACCGGGCUAUCUUGCUGGUCCAAAUAGAUGCAUUUUGCUACAGAUCAGCUGAGUUUUUACCCUUAACUUUCAAGAUACACUAUUUUUCAAGAUAGGUACACUUAAACACUUUGAAUUUAUAUUUUUUAAAGACUCAUUUAUUUUAAUACGCAUGGAGCUAGGCCUGCAUAUAUGUCUGUAUGUGGACAUCACAUCCCCUGGAACGGGAGUUACAGACAG